rnacentral:lncRNA from 1 species
AUGGGCGUCCGCUGCCAAAAUCAGUAAAAAGGAGCUCAACUCCAACCACUACAGGGCCGACGAGACCUCAGGAAAAAAAAAACAGCAAGAAGCAAUUGAACACAUUGAUGAAAUCCAAAAUGAAAUAGACAGACUUAAUGAACAAGCCAGUGAGGAGAUUUUGAAAGUAGAACAGAAAUAUAACAAACUCCGCCAACCAUUUUUUUCAGAAGAGAUCAGAAUUGAUCGCCAAAAUCCCACAUUUUUGGAUAACAACAUUUGUCAACCAUCCACAAGUGUCUGCACUGCUUGGGGAGGAGGACGAAGAGGCACUGCAUUAUUUGACCAGAGUUGAAGUGACAGAAUUCGAAGAUAUUAAAUCAGGUUACAGAAUAGAUUUUUAUUUUGAUCAAAAUCCUUACCUUGAAAAUAAAGUUCUGUCCAAAGAAUUUCAUCUGAAUAAGAGUGGUGAUCCAUCUUCAAAGUCCACUGAAAUCAAAUGGAAAUCUGGAAUGGAUUUGACAAAGCGUUCAAGUUAAACUCAGAAUAAAGCCGGCAGGAAGAGGCAGCAUGAGGAACCAGGGAGCUUCUUUACCUGAUUUACUGACCAUUCUGAUGCAGGUACUGAUGAGUUAGGAGAGGUCAUCAAAGAUGGUAUUUGGCCAAACCCAUUACAGUACCACUUGGUUCCUGAUAUGGAUGAUGAAGAAGGAGAAGAAGAUGAUGAUGAUGAAGAGAAGGAAGGAUUAGAAGAUAUUGAUUAGAAGGAAAUGAGGAAGAUGAAGAAGAUGAAGAUGAUGAUGAAGGGGAGGAAGGAGAGAAGGAUGAAGGAGA